GCCCGGGUGUGCGUGAGCGCGCGAUCUCGUCGCAGCCUCUCGACACUCGGCGGACCGAAAUCUUGUGACCAAAAGUGGCUCCGCUGCGCGCAACGGGACAUCAAUUCCUUCCCGAUUCUCUCCCCCUUCGUUACAAUACUAUUCAACUACCUGGCCGGUUAAGAGUUCGACAGAAACGUUUAUUCCCUGGAAUAAAAUGGCGAUUUAGAUAAAUAUUCAAAUCGAGGCAUGGAUCGAGGACCGACGACAGAUACCGAAGAUUCAACACCUCUGAUGACGAGACAAGACGGCACGUUCGUGACAAAAAACGGACGGCACACACUUUAGCGAUGCGCUCUGGAAGCAAUUUUCAAAUGCGAAUAAAGUCUGUUUGAAGAAACGAAGUAUUCGAUCGCGUUUAACCGCUCUGGCGUGAGGUUUCGCUUCAAACGAUAAUUACGAACACUCCCAAUGAAUUAGAGAGCAAUAAGCAGAGUGAGGUGAGCCAUUAAGGGAGUAUAUCAGUGUGAAAAAAGAGCUUGGCCGCAAAAGAGCUUCUGUACGGUCCAGGGACAGCGGAUUAAUCGAUGCUUGCCGCGGCACUUAUGCUGUCAACCGUCGCGCGGAGUCUUUUUUUGAGACGCCAUCUUGCGACCACUCCUCUGCUUAAUAAAAUGUACUAAAAAUGAAAAAAUAAAAUUCCUUGUAUACUUCAUUAUUGCAAUAAUUAAAACACAAAAUUUCAAAUAAUUUUAUCUAGCGUUAAAUAAAAAAAAAAAAAAACCCCCAAAAAAUAUCUCAUUUCUCAGCCUGUCGCAGUCAUAUCCCCCUUAAAAUGACGGGCAUUUAUGCCCCUCAUUUUAAUUAUAUUAUAUUAUAUUAUAUUGUAUUAAUUAUAUUAUAAUAUUAUAAAUUUG